UAGAGUCAGGUCUCUACUCCAGUUUUAAUCUAAUUACUCAAUUAUAUGACUAAAAGGCAACUAAUCUGUAUUGCAUGUAUGGUUAAUCUGCUUUACAAAAUAUAUAUGAAACAAUAAGAUAAUCUUCGGUGAAUUAAUUGUUUAUGUAUUUAUUUUAUUUUACUAUUUUAACUGAUUCUGAUUCUGAUACUUAGGUGACCUAUGUUGUACAUUUUCAAAAGUACAUUUUCUAGUUGAAAGUAGCUUCUACUCAGACCUGUGGUACGACCUUUGAAAAUUAGCAUACCAAUAUACCCUACACUAGUCCGUACUCUAAAUGUGGAACGAUUGGUCUAUUAAACCACUUGCCGCAUUUGUACCACAAGUGAUUCAGCGAAGAAAACACAAGCUUUCGCCAUAACCCCACCUUGUCCCAAGUAAAAAUGAAUGUUAACCACGGGAAUAUUCAUGCAUCUUGUUAUGUUAUGCAUUUUUGUAUAUAUGUUGUGUGUCUUACAGGCCAUAUGAACUGACAUUGUAUACUUUUUAUGGAUAUUUUUAUAGUCAUAUUAUACAAUGUGUGACACUAUAAUAAAAUAAUUUUCUUCUUCUUCAAGCUUUCUCCUCGGUCCUUUCUCGGCCUGGAGUCAGAUGGGUGUUACGUCAAGAUUACGUGACAUAGGGAUGACCAAAUUGACAGCGUUUGGAGGGCAACUUGUAAUUGCUCUUCAGGUUCACGUCACGUGGACGAACAAACAUCCCUGUCUAGAUUUCACGGACAUGAGAUUAGUGUCAGGUCAUGUAUUUGAAACAGGGCCUCGGGUACUUGCAAUUGGGCGGCGGGUUAGACAACUGGUCAAGGCGUUCGCUCGUCACGCCCAAGACCCGAGUUCGAUUUAUCAUCAACACUGAAGAUUAACCAUUGCUAUCCUCGGCGGUUACAGCCUUUUCCCCAAACAACCCUUCAUCAUGUGCGGCGAUCCUAUGUCCAGUAGGAAGUAUUUGCAAAGUAGAGACCACUUUCUGCUUUACAACACCAUGUCCAGGGCCAACUGCACGCUGUGUUCCAAGAAUUUCAGAUAAACCGGGAUCAUGUCCAGUGCAAAGCCCCGUCACAGGCAUCUGUAGUGUGCGGUGCACCAGUGAUGCUGACUGUGGGGGGGACCUGAAGUGUUGCGGAAACUGCCCCCGACAAUGUACUUCUCCCGCCCUCCCCCGUGAUAAGCCAGGCGUCUGUCCCAGGAAUCGUAACAGGAAUCGUAACAGGAAUCGUAACCAGUUCCGAUUCCCAUUCCAAUUCUGUCGCCGGCGACACCGGUGCAGUAACGACUUUGACUGCAGGGGCUUCUCCAAAUGUUAUGGAACUUGCCCACGGAGAUGUGUCAGUCCUUUCGCAUUCUUCAGAUCUAGUAGAUCUAGUAAAUCAGACAAUGACCGUUAACAAUAUAACAAGCUUGUGUGAUCUACGCUUGCUUAGUUAAUUUCAGAUGGUACUUAAACAGAAAAAGUCGUUUGAAUGACACCCUUCAUCUGGAUGUGUAUCCGAUCUUAUUUGUAUUUUAUAUACGAUUCCUGGGUUUUGUGUAAUAGGAUACAAACAGAACAUGAAAAUGAAUUUAUUAAUGACACUAAAACGUUUCAUCUGGCACUUGUCUGGUUUGUCUUCUUU